AGCUAAGUUUGUUCUUGGUAUGAGUUUUCAUGUGCAUGCACACUUCUUCAUAGUAUCUGAAGAAGUGUGCAUGCACACGAAAGCUCAUACCAAGAGCAAACUUAGUUGG